rnacentral:lncRNA from 1 species
UUGGGUAUGGGAUCUUCUGAGUGCGGCUAACCGACCUGCAGCUGGCAUAGCUGACUGUGCUCCGUGAACUGCUCCAUUUGUCUGUGACCUUGGUUUUGGGCCCCCAAACCAAUUCUGUGCUCUUCUGUGCUUGCAGCCUGGUCCAGAGGGCAAAUUGGGGCCCAGAAGGUCUAGCCAGCGUUCACAGCUGCAGGAUGAACCGUUCCUCCUCCCUGGAGCUCUGUCGCCCACCCUGUUAAGUGACACCAGUGACCUUUGUAGCGGUCUGGAGGUGCGAAUGCUAAUGAGGAGAUCUGAAGGGAUAUGGGCUCUUGGUUUACGGCAGUUCCUGUCUUCCCGGUCCUGCAGACCUGGUGUUUUAGAGCUGGAGUUGGAGAGACUCCGUGCUCUGAGCAAGCGCCAGAGCCGCGGCACCUCCUCUGCCCAGGAUGCUCCGGCUGGGGAACCRGGGCAGCUGACUGAAGUCUUCUCCUGUCUCUGAGGCUAACAAACUCUCUUGGGGGAAACUCCAGGAUCUGGACAUCUCUUCUCACUCUUUCUUCCCUCCAGGCUCGUGCAUUAAAGCUCCGUUAUGCCAGUGUCCUGGGACAGUGUCAAACCCUUUUAGUGAUUCAGGCUGGGUAGCUGGGACCUUUGCUUAGGAUCUGCACCUUUCCC